rnacentral:rRNA from 1 species
AUUGAACGCUGGCGGCAUGCCUUACACAUGCAAGUCGAACGGCAGCACGGGAGCAAUCCUGGUGGCGAGUGGCGAACGGGUGAGUAAUAUAUCGGAACGUGCCCAGUCGUGGGGGAUAACGUAGCGAAAGCUACGCUAAUACCGCAUACGAUCUACGGAUGAAAGCGGGGGAUCGCAAGACCUCGCGCGAUUGGAGCGGCCGAUAUCAGAUUAGCUAGUUGGUGGGGUAAAAGCUCACCAAGGCGACGAUCUGUAGCUGGUCUGAGAGGACGACCAGCCACACUGGAACUGAGACACGGUCCAGACUCCUACGGGAGGCAGCAGUGGGGAAUUUUGGACAAUGGGCGAAAGCCUGAUCCAGCAAUGCCGCGUGCAGGACGAAGGCCUCGGUUGUAAC